GGCGUGGAUAAGACAUGCAAGUCGAGCGCUGAUCACGGGGUAGCAAUAUUCCGUGGUCGGAGCGGCGCAAGGGUGCGUAACACGUGGGUAAUCUGCCAUGAAGUUCGGGAUAACUUGCUGAAAGGCGAGCUAAUACCGGAUGUGACAGCCGGGAGACAUCUCCUGGUUGUUAAAGUUGGGGACCGUAAGGCCUGACGCUUCUUGAUGAACCCGCGGCCUAUCAGCUAGUUGGUGAGGUAACGGCCCACCAAGGCUAAGACGGGUAGCUGGUCUGAGAGGACGACCAGCCACACUGGAACUGAGACACGGUCCAGACACCUACGGGUGGCAGCAGUCGAGAAUUUUUCACAAUGGGCGCGAGCCUGAUGGAGCGACGCCGCGUGGGGGAUGAAUGGCUUCGGCCUGUAAACGGCCUGUCAUUUGCGAUCAAACCUCAUUAUUAAAAGAUGAUGAGCUG
rnacentral:rRNA from 1 species